UGGGGAAUAUUGGACAAUGGGCGAAAGCCUGAUCCAGCAAUGCCGCGUGAGUGAUGAAGGCCUUAGGGUCGUAAAGCUCUUUUACCCGGGAUGAUAAUGACAGUACCGGGAGAAUAAGCUCCGGCUAACUCCGUGCCAGCAGCCGCGGUAAUACGGAGGGAGCUAGCGUUGUUCGGAAUUACUGGGCGUAAAGCGUACGUAGGCGGUUAUUCAAGUCAGAGGUGAAAGCCCGGGGCUCAACCCCGGAACUGCCUUUGAAACUAGAUAGCUAGAAUCUUGGAGAGGUCAGUGGAAUUCCGAGUGUAGAGGUGAAAUGCGUAGAUAUUGGGAGGAACACCGGUGGCGAAGGCGGCCCACUGGUCCGGUACUGACGCUGAGGUGCGAAAGCGUGGGGAGCAAACAGGAUUAGAUACCCACGUAGUCCCUGAGCGGGCUGGCAAGGCGCAU
rnacentral:rRNA from 1 species